rnacentral:rRNA from 1 species
AGUGAACGCUGGCGGUAGGCCUAACACAUGCAAGUCGAACGGCAGCACAGUAAGAGCUUGCUCUUACGGGUGGCGAGUGGCGGACGGGUGAGGAACACAUCGGAAUCUACUUUUUCGUGGGGGAUAACGUAGGGAAACUUACGCUAAUACCGCAUACGACCUACGGGUGAAAGCAGGGGAUCUUCGGACCUUGCGCGAUUGAAUGAGCCGAUGUCGGAUUAGCUAGUUGGCGGGGUAAAGGCCCACCAAGGCGACGAUCCGUAGCUGGUCUGAGAGGAUGAUCAGCCACACUGGAACUGAGACACGGUCCAGACUCCUACGGGAGGCAGCAGUGGGGAAUAUUGGACAAUGGGCGCAAGCCUGAUCCAGCCAUACCGCGUGGGUGAAGAAGGCCUCCGGGUUGUAAAGCCCUUUUGUUGGGAAAGAAAAGCAGCAGGUUAAUACCCCGCUGUUCUGACGGUACCCAAAGAAUAAGCACCGGCUAACUUCGUG